CUUGGAGUCAGCAGGCAGAGUUUUGGCUGUCUUCACACUCACUUUAUAUUCACUGGCUUCUAGGGAGCAAUUCUGCAAUUCUUACCAACCUAGGGGAGAGGAAAAUCAGACUAAAAUACAGUUUCAGACAGCAUUACAGUGGAGUAUACAAUAUAAACAGAAUAGGACAUGCUGCAAAUGUUGGAUGAGAGCCAAAGCAGCGAAGGAGAUGUGUGAUGCUGAAGUGGCCAGAGCUUGUUGAAGCUUUUUAAGGAGCAGGGUUUUUCAUCAGAAAAUGCUUAUUCGGUGGAAUUGAGACAUUCUUUUAGCUCUGACAGGUCAUGUUUGCUGGAAGAAAUCCUUCCAGCCGCCCAUUUCUGGGCCAUUCUUCCCCUCAGACCCCAUGUGUAGUGGUUGUUCUGGAGUUUGGUUCAUGAGGCUUCACCUCCAGCCUCCUCAGGCUGACUCUGGGCUCUCCUUGCCAUGCCAGAAACAUUAAGAAAUUCUGUUUCCGUUCUUCUAAAUGUUUUUCUUUUAAUUUCCACCUUUGGAAGAUUUCUUACAGCUGAAAUUUUGUUCUGAUUCUGAACAAAAAGCAAUUUCACCCCUUUGCCCUCCUCGCUGCAGUUUUGAAAAUGAGGAUUUCUGCAGGAUGGAAAUUUUGGCUGGGUUCUGUCCUUUCACAAAACUACUGUGAAUUUUGACAGAGCAGAGGAGUCAGCAGGAAACCACUGGAGCUGCAGUUUGAACGCUGGAUUGGCAGAGAAUUCUAAGGGGUUCCCUCUGCUGAACUUCAAUGCUUGUCUGCAAGACCAGACUUCAUUGUUGUAGACCAGCCUUUCAUUUUGCUCUCUCAGGCUGCACUGUCCCAAGGGAAAUGAAGACUGGAUUUCUAAGAGUGUCCUGUGCAGGACUGGAAGUCACAAAGCU
rnacentral:lncRNA from 1 species